rnacentral:rRNA from 1 species
UACAGAGGUCCCAAGCGUUGUUCGGAUUUACUGGGCGUAAAGGGUGCGUAGGUGGCUGAAAAAGUCUGAUGUGAAAUCUCGGUGCUCAACUCCGAAACUGCAUUGGAUACUAGUCAGCUCGAGGUAUGGAGGGGAGAUUGGAAUUCUCGGUGUAGCAGUGAAAUGCGUAGAUAUCGAGAGGAACACCAGUGGCGAAGGCGAAUCUCUGGACAUAACCUGACGCUGAGGCACGAAAGCCAAGGGAGCAAACGGG